GCAGCAGGCACGCAAAUUACCCACUCCCGGCACGGGGAGGUAGUGACAAAAAAUAACGAUGCGGGACUCUUUUGAGGCCCCGUAAUCGGAAUGAGUACACUUUAAAUCCUUUAACGAUAAUCAAUUAGAGGGCAAGUCUGGUGCCAGCAGCCGCGGUAAUUCCAGCUCUAAUAGCGUAUAUUAAAGUUGUUGCGGUUAAAAAGCUCGUAGUUGGUUCUGCGUGCCACGCUGUCGGUUCGCCGCCUGACGGUGUAACUGGCAUGUCGUGGCAUGUCCUGUCGGUGGCGAACUGGGGCCACAUUCGUUUUCCCCAUUCGGGCUUGUCUCGGGUGUGUGGAGCGGUGUGGUCACUUGGUUCGCCGGCUCUAUCCUGCCGCGGUGCUUUUAACCAAGUGUCGAGGUAGGCCGACACGUUUACUUUGAACAAAUUAGAGUGCUCAAAGCAGGCUUAAAUCUCUGCCUGAAUAGUGGUGCAUGGAAUAAUGGAACAGGACCUUGGUUCUAUUCUGUUGGUCUCCGGAACACAAGGUAAUGAUCAAUGUGGACAGGCGGGGGCAUUCGUAUUGCGACGUAGAGGUGAAAUUCUUGGAUCGUCGCAAGACGCACUAGAGCGAAAGCAUUUGCCAAGUAUGUCUUAAUUGAUCAAGAACGAAAGUUAGAGGUUCGAAGGCGAUCAGAUACCGCCCUAGUUCUAACCAUAAACGAUGCCAGCCAGCGAUCCGCCGACGUUCCUCCGAUGACUCGGCGGGGAGCUUCUUCCCGGGAAACCAAAGCUUUUGGGUUCCGGGGGAAGUAUGGUUGCAAAGCUGAAACUUAAAGGAAUUGACGGAAGGGCACCACCAGGAGUGGAGCCUGCGGCUUAAUUUGACUCAACACGGGAAACCUCACCAGGUCAGGACAUUGGAAGGAUUGACAGAUUGAUAGCUCUUUCUUGAUUCAGUGGGUAGUGGUGCAUGGCCGUUC
rnacentral:rRNA from 1 species